rnacentral:rRNA from 1 species
AUUGAACGCUGGCGGCAUGCCUUACACAUGCAAGUCGAACGGCAGCACGGGCUUCGGCCUGGUGGCGAGUGGCGAACGGGUGAGUAAUACAUCGGAACGUGCCCUGUAGUGGGGGAUAACUAGGCGAAAGAUCAGCUAAUACCGCAUACGACCUGAGGGUGAAAGCGGGGGACCGUAAGGCCUCGCGCUAAAGGAGCGGCCGAUGUCUGAUUAGCUAGUUGGCGGGGUAAGAGCCUACCAAGGCGACGAUCAGUAGCUGGUCUGAGAGGACGAUCAGCCACACUGGGACUGAGACACGGCCCAGACUCCUACGGGAGGCAGCAGUGGGGAAUUUUGGACAAUGGGGGCAACCCUGAUCCAGCAAUGCCGCGUGUGUGAAGAAGGCCUUCGGGUUGUAAAGCACUUUUGUCCGGAAAGAAAUCGCGCUGGUUAAUACCUGGCGUGGAUGACGGUACCGGAAGAAUAAGCACCGGCUAACUACGUGCCAGCCGCCGCUGUAACAC